rnacentral:rRNA from 1 species
UGGGGAAUAUUGCGCAAUGGGGGAAACCCUGACGCAGCAACGCCGCGUGAAGGAUGAAGGUCUUCGGAUUGUAAACUUUUGUCUUCAGGGACGAUAAUGACGGUACCUGAGGAGGAAGCCACGGCUAACUACGUGCCAGCAGCCGCGGUAAUACGUAGGUGGCGAGCGUUAUCCGGAUUUACUGGGUGUAAAGGGCGUGUAGGCGGGAUAGUAGGUCAGAUGUGAAAUACCGCAGCUUAACUGCGGAGCUGCAUUUGAAACCACUAUUCUUGAGUACUGGAGAGGGAAGCGGAAUUCCUAGUGUAGCGGUGAAAUGCGUAGAUAUUAGGAGGAACACCAGUGGCGAAGGCGGCUUUCUGGACAGUAACUGACGCUGAGGCGCGAAAGCGUGGGGAGCAAACA